rnacentral:rRNA from 1 species
AUUGAACGCUGGCGGCAGGCCUAACACAUGCAAGUCGAGCGGUAGCACAGAGAGCUUGCUCUCGGGUGACGAGCGGCGGACGGGUGAGUAAUGUCUGGGAAACUGCCUGAUGGAGGGGGAUAACUACUGGAAACGGUAGCUAAUACCGCAUAACGUCGCAAGACCAAAGAGGGGGACCUUCGGGCCUCUUGCCAUCAGAUGUGCCCAGAUGGGAUUAGCUAGUAGGUGGGGGAACGGCUCACCUAGGCGACGAUCCCUAGCUGGUCUGAGAGGAUAGCCAGCCACACUGGAACUGAGCCACGGUCCAGACUCAUACGGGAGGCAGCAGUGGGGUAUAUUGCACAAUGGGCGCAAGCCUGAUGCAGCCAUGCCGCGUGUAUGAAGAAGGCCUUCGGGUUGUAAAGUACUUUCAGCGGGGAGGAAGGCGAUAAGGUUAAUAACCUUGUCGAUUGACGUUACCCGCAGAAGAAGCACCGGCUAACUCCGUGCCAGCAGCCGCCGUAA